rnacentral:rRNA from 1 species
UACGUAGGGUGCAAGCGUUGUCCGGAAUUAUUGGGCGUAAAGAGCUCGUAGGCGGUUUGUUGCGUCGGCUGUGAAAUCCCGAGGCUCAACCUCGGGUCUGCAGUCGAUACGAGCAAACUAGAGUGUUGCAGGGGAGACUGGAAUUCCUGGUGUAGCGGUGAAAUGCGUAGAGAUCGGAAAGAACACCAGUGGCGAAGGCGGCGGCCUGGGCCUAAACUGACACUGAGGUGCGAAAGCGGUGGGGAGCAACAGG